rnacentral:rRNA from 1 species
UACGUAGGGUGCAAGCGUUAAUCGGAAUUACUGGGCGUAAAGCGUGCGCAGGCGGCUCGGAAAGAAAGAUGUGAAAUCCCAGGGCUUAACCUUGGAAUGGCAUUUUUAACUCCCGAGCUAGAGUAUGUCAGAGGGGGGUAGAAUUCCACGUGUAGCAGUGAAAUGCGUAGAGAUGUGGAGGAACACCGAUGGCGAAGGCAGCCCCCUGGGUUAACACUGACGCUCAGGCACGAAAGCGUGGGGAGCAAACAGG